rnacentral:sRNA from 1 species
AACAAUGUAUUUGCUCUGAGUUGCAGCCGAUUAACUUUUCUUCAGAGGCAAAUGUAGACUUAUCUCUCCUUCUCCUGACCACCCACCACAUUAUACUUAAGAAAAUGGAAAGGGGUAGAUUUAUUCCUGACGACAUUGAAUGCCACCACUAGUACCUUCCAGUUUGAAAUAUGGGAAAAUUUGGAUGGAAACUUCUCUGUCAGUACUAUAUUGGAAAAACCUCAAAAUAUGAUGGUGGUUGGACAGUCAGCAUUUGCAGACUUUGAUGGAGAUGGACACAUGGAUCAUUUACUGCCAGGCUGUGAAGAUAAAAAUUGCCAAAAGAGUACCAUCUACUUAGUGAGAUCUGGGACGAAGCAGUGGGUUCCAGUCCUACAAGAUUUCAGCAAUAAGGGCACACUCUGGGGCUUUGUGCCAUUUGUGGAUGAACAGCAACCAACUGAAAUACCAAUUCCAAUUACCCUUCAUAUUGGAGACUACAAUAUGGAUGGCUAUCCAGACGCUCUGGUCAUACUAAAGAACACAUCUGGAAGCAACCAGCAGGCCUUUUUACUGGAGAACGUCCCUUGUAAUAACGCAAGCUGUGAAGAGGCGCGUCGAAUGUUUAAAGUCUACUGGGAGCUGACAGACCUAAAUCAAAUUAAGGAUGCCAUGGUUGCCACCUUCUUUGACAUUUACGAAGAUGGAAUCUUGGACAUUGUAGUGCUAAGUAAAGGAUAUACAAAGAAUGAUUUUGCCAUCCAUACACUAAAAAAUAACUUUGAAGCAGAUGCUUAUUUUGUUAAAGUUAUUGUUCUUAGUGGUCUGUGUUCUAAUGACUGUCCUCGUAAGAUAACACCCUUUGGAGUGAAUCAACCUGGACCUUAUAUCAUGUAUACAACUGUAGAUGCAAAUGGGUAUCUGAAAAAUGGAUCAGCUGGCCAACUCAGCCAAUCCGCACAUUUAGCUCUCCAACUACCAUACAACGUGCUUGGUUUAGGUCGGAGCGCAAAUUUUCUUGACCAUCUCUAUGUUGGUAUUCCCCGUCCAUCUGGAGAAAAAUCUAUACGAAAACAAGAGUGGACUGCAAUCAUUCCAAAUUCCCAGCUAAUUGUCAUUCCAUACCCUCACAAUGUCCCUCGAAGUUGGAGUGCCAAACUGUAUCUUACACCAAGUAAUAUUGUUCUGCUUACUGCUAUAGCUCUCAUCGGUGUCUGUGUUUUCAUCUUGGCAAUAAUUGGCAUUUUACAUUGGCAGGAAAAGAAAGCAGAUGAUAGAGAAAAACGACAAGAAGCCCACCGGUUUCAUUUUGAUGCUAUGUGACUUGCCUUUAAUAUUACAUAAUGGAAUGGCUGUUCACUUGAUUAGUUGAAACACAAAUUCUGGCUUGAAAAAAUAGGGGAGAUUAAAUACUAUUUAUAAAUGAUGUAUCCCAUGGUAAUUAUUGGAAAGUAUUCAAAUAAAUAUGGUUUGAAUAUGUCACAA